rnacentral:piRNA from 1 species
UAUGUCAUGAAGAUUGUACAGAGCCAAACUG